UACGUAGGGGGCAAGCGUUGUCCGGAUUUAUUGGGCGUAAAGAGCUUGUAGGCGGUUUGUCGCGUCUGCUGUGAAAAUCCGGGGCUCAACCCCGGACUUGCAGUGGGUACGGGCAGACUAGAGUGUGGUAGGGGAGACUGGAAUUCCUGGUGUAGCGGUGAAAUGCGCAGAUAUCAGGAGGAACACCGAUGGCGAAGGCAGGUCUCUGGGCCACUACUGACGCUGAGGCACGAAAGCGUGGGGAGCAAACAGG
rnacentral:rRNA from 1 species